UAGGCGGAUAUAGAGUAUAUAAUGGAUACGGAAGUUGCCCGAAAUGGGUGAACGGUACAUGUUCGACAACUUGUGUGUAAACACUGGAAUCCUUGAAAUACGUCUCGUCUAUUUGUUAUAUAAGAUAACAAGACAACACAUGGUGUCAGGAGUGGCCGUGAGCAGCUUUAGACGGAAAGUUUGCCACGGGGAAGCCACGAGAAAGAGAGAGACACCAAAAAGAAGAGUCUCCAGUGGAGUGAGUGAGAUGUUUUAGCAAAGGAACACAGAAGAAAAAAAAAUCACUGUGGUGUGUUACAACUACAAACGGCUCAAAGUGAAGCAGAGGACGGCGACAGAUUGGGGGGAAAAAAGGAUCCCGUUCCCAAAUUGAGAAGUAUUCAACAAAAGAAAAAGCUGUAGAGUUCAGGUGGCACAGCGUCUUCUCAAUGGCGACUAUCCCAGUGUGACAUCUGUAAAUGACGAUGCAGGCAAUAUGGCUGCCACUGGGAUGUCGAGUGAGACUUCUGCAACUUUGCGCAUGAAUGACACGCUCUCCACUGUUUUUUUUUCUCAUAUAGACAAUGAGGUGAAAAAUAUUACAUGUAAUUUCAUCACAAUAUAAAUUUUUAAAUGUAUAACGGAAUGUCGGUAGACUGAAAUAUUGCACAUAAAAGGCAAGUGCAAAAUGCCGUUUUGGGUUUUUUUUGCAGCAGGGAGGUGGUGCAGAAAAAUAAUAAGAGGUGACAAAGAGGACCAAUCUUCCGCUCGUAAAAAGCUUGGAAAUGCCAGGAACAAAAAUUAUUUUGUUUAUUCACCAUUGGAAUUUUAGAGCUUUAGAAUGGUUUUGUAUUGCAGAUGACUUGGAACCAGUCACAAAAAUGAGUCAGUUUGGACAUCACCUGUGACAGAACUCCAUUCAACUCUGCCUUUCUUGGAUUUUGGGUCAUUUCAGCACCGUGUAACAGCUGGUUCUAGCCUCCCCCAAACCUUUUAUUCAGGUGUUUAUACCAUGGAUGACCUGAAAGUUUGCAAGAGCAUGGAUGCAUCAAGUUUAUGUGGCUGGGUUCACGAUAUGGGAGCUGUUGUCAGAAAUGGAUACCAACUAGUCAGUGGAAAGGUUCUCCAUUCCCAAGCAUUGCAAGAAAAGCCCCUGAGGCCUUGGGUGAUUGCUGAACAAAGUGGGAAAAUUGUUGCUGUACAUUGCGAAUGCAAGGCUGGCCUGGGAGAAGCUUGUUCAC